rnacentral:sRNA from 1 species
UUCUUUUUCAGAUUGACAGCUACAAUGCACUUCAACUCAAUCUAAGCUUCCGCAAAAAUCGAGCAUUCAACAGUGAUAGUCCAUUGGAUCAUAAAGGUCCUUGGGCAUAUAACAGCUAACUUCAAC